rnacentral:rRNA from 1 species
UGGGGAAUAUUGCACAAUGGGCGCAAGCCUGAUGCAGCAACGCCGCGUGAGGGACGACGGCCUUCGGGUUGUAAACCUCUUUUAGUAGGGAAGAAGCGAAAGUGACGGUACCUGCAGAAAAAGCACCGGCUAACUACGUGCCAGCAGCCGCGGUAAUACGUAGGGUGCGAGCGUUGUCCGGAAUUAUUGGGCGUAAAGAGCUCGUAGGCGGUCUGUCGCGUCUGCUGUGAAAACCCGAGGCUCAACCUCGGGCCUGCAGUGGGUACGGGCAGACUAGAGUGCGGUAGGGGAGAAUGGAAUUCCUGGUGUAGCGGUGGAAUGCGCAGAUAUCAGGAGGAACACCGAUGGCGAAGGCAGUUCUCUGGGCCGUAACUGACGCUGAGGAGCGAAAGCGUGGGGAGCGAACAGGAUUAGAUACCCUGGUAGUCCACGCCGUAAACGUUGGGCGCUAGAUGUGGGGACCAUUCCACGGUUUCCGUGUCGCAGCUAACGCAUUAAGCGCCCCGCCUGGGGAGUACGGCCGCAAGGCUAAAACUCAAAUGAA